AGGACAUUCAUGUCCCCUCUUGGCCAGUCUGGGGUCACGUCUGUGACCCCAUGGCCAGGUUCCCAAACUGCUCCCAAAUGUCUCAAGCCUUAGGGACUGGCAUUUUGCUGGCAGAAGGGAAGUUUCCUGCAGGAGUUGGAGAUUGUGCCCCAUGGCUGCUCAGCACGUGCCGCAAAGCCUGAAGGCACCAAGUGACCGGGUCGUGUUGUGGCCAGCACAGGAGCUAAAUCUACCUCUGAUCAUCAAAGAGUCUGGGCAAUGCUGAUGUCUUUUUCUUCUCCAGCCAGUUUCUGUCUGUGGAAGCACAUCUGUGACCCACAUUCUGCUUUCAAAAUCAGCAAAACAGAGGUUUCCAGCUGGUUUCCUUAAUCUCCUACUUUUGUUCAGAUUUUAAAAUUGUCUUGUGUUUCCUAGCCUCAAGUUCCUAACUAGGCUGGUCAGUGGAGUGCAGCACAAAGGGCAAGUCACCACCCAGUGAUGGGGACCAUCUUUGAACAGCCUUCAAACUUCAGGGGAAAUGGAGCAGACAGAGCAUCCACACGAGCACUAAUUUUCUCUGUGCAUCUCCAAACAGGAACAGGCCCUGCAAGAUGUGUAGGCAGAGACAGUUUGCAAGUACACAGACACAAAAAAGCCAGAAUCUAUCUCAAGUUCUUCUCUUCCUGCUUCCAAGUACUUUGAAAGAUCAUUUGAUAAUGCCAGGGCUGUGAAACUACCGUGAAAAUGUAAAAUAUUUUAGGCCUGCAUUCAACCCAUCCAUCUUCACACAUAUCAGAGGUGUCAGGGCUAGGAAGCUUGUUGCCUUUGGCUCCCUCCAUCAGGAGCCAAGGGGGAGAGAGAUGCCUCUGAAGAGGAAUACAGACCUCACUGCUCAGUGGAGAAAGAGAUGCAAUUGUGUUUGUUGCCCUAGCACAGCUAACCACAGCACUGACAUCUCAAGUCUGUGCCAAAUACCAAGCCCAAACUGGACAACAUUUUGGUUAUUUCAUCUUCAAGAAUUGGUCUGGCAGUGCCUUACAGAAAAACAGC